UUUAGAUGGACCUUUCUGAUAAGGCUUACUUGGUUUUAAACUUUCCUUCUCCUUUAAGAUCUUUGAGUCCCACAAAGCCCUGAAGCAAGGACAUUUCUUUAUAAAUAUGUUACCUGUCUCCUACAGUUAUUUCUUAUGUUUUUCAUAGGACAUUAGAUUAAAGCAACAUCUCAAGAAGAUACCAAACUGAGUUUGGCUGUCACUAAACCUCCUCUACCUUUGGAAGAGUUAAGAGAUAUCCCAUACAGACAAACAGAGUAUUUGUGAAACCUUUACUCAGGAUAACAUAUGAUAUAUUUCACCCUUUCCAGGGCAGCCAGAAGCUAAGUGAUGGACUUCUCAAUGGUGUCUUAGCAGCUGCCACAAGUUUUGCAGUAAUUCCCAUCAACUGUCUUCCUGCAACUGUAAGCAAAUAACCCAUCAGUGAUCCCUAAACCUUCAGUCUAAUCUACCAUGUUUCGUAAAACAGUGCGCGAGGCUGUUGCAGAUGUUAUAGAGGGCACCAUCCAACUUGCAGAAGUGAUCCUUAGCUCCCGUAUUCAGAGUCUGUUACAGGCACAGCUGAGAUCCACAGGCAGUGUGUGGGAGUCAUGUGACCAGUGGGAAAAACUUCCUAAAGGUUUGCCAUCAUAAAUUGAGAUGUCUUAUCACCUUGCCAUUUGUAUUAUUUCAACUUUUAAGGUGUUCUAUGUAUUGGGGCUAUUAGUAAUAAUUAUUAAUAUGGUAGUGGUCCCACUUUGCAAGGUACUAGAUUUUUCAGCUGCUUUGUCAUUGUCUUUGCUGUUAAAGGAGAACUAAACCCUAAAAAUCAAUAGGGCUAAAAAUACCAUCUUUUAUAUA